rnacentral:tRNA from 1 species
GGGUGGAUGCCCGAGUGGCCAAAGGGGGCAGACUGUAAAUCUGCUGGCGUAAGCCUUCACAGGUUCGACUCCUGUUCCACCCA